rnacentral:rRNA from 1 species
UACGUAGGGUGCAAGCGUUGUCCGGAAUUAUUGGGCGUAAAGAGCUCGUAGGCGGUUUUGUCGCGUCUGCCGUGAAAGUCCGGGGCUCAACUCCGGAUCUGCGGUGGGUACGGGCAGACUAGAGUGAUGUAGGGGAGACUGGAAUUCCUGGUGUAGCGGUGAAAUGCGCAGAUAUCAGGAGGAACACCGAUGGCGAAGGCAGGUCGCUGGGCCAGUUCUGACACUCAUCCGCGAAAGCGUGGGGAGCAAACAGG